GAUGAACGCUGGCGGCGUGCUUAACACAUGCAAGUCGAACGAUGAAGCCCAGCUUGCUGGGUGGAUUAGUGGCGAACGGGUGAGUAACACGUGAGUAACCUGCCCUUAACUCUGGGAUAAGCCUGGGAAACUGGGUCUAAUACCGGAUAGGAGCGUCCACCGCAUGGUGGGUGUUGGAAAGAUUUAUCGGUUUUGGAUGGACUCGCGGCCUAUCAGCUUGUUGGUGAGGUAAUGGCUCACCAAGGCGACGACGGGUAGCCGGCCUGAGAGGGUGACCGGCCACACUGGGACUGAGACACGGCCCAGACUCCUACGGGAGGCAGCAGUGGGGAAUAUUGCACAAUGGGCGAAAGCCUGAUGCAGCGACGCCGCGUGAGGGAUGACGGCCUUCGGGUUGUAAACCUCUUUCAGUAGGGAAGCAGCGAAAGUGACGGUACCUGCAGAAGAAGCACCGGCUAACUACGUG
rnacentral:rRNA from 1 species